CCUACGGGGGGCACCAGUGGGGAAUAUUGCACAAUGGGCGCAAGCCUGAUGCAGCCAUGCCGCGUGUAUGAAGAAGGCCUUCGGGUUGUAAAGUACUUUCAGCGGGGAGGAAGGCGAUAAAGUUAAUAACCUUGUCGAUUGACGUUACCCGCAGAAGAAGCACCGGCUAACUCCGUGCCAGCAGCCGCGGUAAUACGGAGGGUGCAAGCGUUAAUCGGAAUUACUGGGCGUAAAGCGCACGCAGGCGGUCUGUCAAGUCGGAUGUGAAAUCCCCGGGCUCAACCUGGGAACUGCAUUCGAAACUGGCAGGCUAGAGUCUUGUAGAGGGGGGUAGAAUUCCAGGUGUAGCGGUGAAAUGCGUAGAGAUCUGGAGGAAUACCGGUGGCGAAGGCGGCCCCCUGGACAAAGACUGACGCACAGGAGCGAAAGCGUAGGGAGCAAACAGGAUUAGAUACCCCAGUAGUC
rnacentral:rRNA from 1 species